CACGUAGGGCGCAAGCGUUGUCCGGAAUUAUUGGGCGUAAAGAGCUCGUAGGCGGUCUGUUGCGUCCGCUGUGAAAACCCGGGGCUUAACCCCUGGCUUGCAGUGGAUACGGACAGACUAGAGGUAGGUAGGGGAGAAUGGAAUUCCCGGUGUAGCGGUGAAAUGCGUAGAUAUCAGGAGGAACACCGGUGGCGAAGGCGCACAUCUGGCCCGAUACUGACGCUGAGGCGCGAAAGCUAGGGGAGCAAACGGG
rnacentral:rRNA from 1 species